GCACCAUGUUCAUCGCUUUUUCUAUGUACAAAAACCAGAUCGAGGAAAUAGCAGUAGUAGUAGCCACUAUAAAAGGAGAGAGAGAGAGAGUGAGAGAGAGCGCGUAGAUUACUAGAUUGUAGUGUCACUCACCAAGUCUAAUAGAGAAUAGUGCACAACAGUGGAGUGAAGUGACUGGCACAUAGAGAGACUUAAAAGAAGUAAGGGGAACCCCACUUUUCCAUUCUGACUUUCCUGUUUUUUACCCUUUAUUCACUGUACUUACACAGUACAUUUUAUGUCGGUUUGUGUGUGUGUGAGAGAGUGAGAUAAGGGUCUUAAUUUCUUUCAUCAGUUUCAGAAAAGAAAGAAAAAAAUGAGAAGAAGAAGAAGAAACAUGAAGGAAAAUCUCCCUUCUUACUAGUUCUGGUUUUUGUAUAUCUGGUUUGUGAGGUUGAGGAAAAUCUUAAAAUCCUCUCAGAAUUUUUUCCCUUGCUGGGAAAAGGAAAAGAAAAAGAUUAUCUUUGCUUGCCCUUUGUUUCAUUUUUUGUUUUUGGAAAUAGUGCUUUUACUGCUUUGCCAGAUUUGUGUGGAUGUGAGAUCUUCAAUCGUUUUCCCUUCUCUGACUCUCAUGAAGACAUUGACUACUCUUUGCUACUUCUUUAACACGGUUUCUCUUCCGUGAUUUCUGCUUCUGACUCUUUACUCUUUUUUGUUUUGUUUUUCUUUUCCAUUUUCUUUCGCUUGUUAUUUUUUUAGUUUAACUUAUAUGGAACUCCUUCGGUCUUCUAAGUCAUAUUUUUGUUUCCCCAUUCUCUGUCGUUUUGGACAGUGGUGGCUCUGAUAUUGUUCUUUGGUUGAAGACUUUUGAUUUUUAGGUUCGCUUCAAUGAAAGAACCGCUGAAGUAGUAAGUUCAAGAUGUAGCUAGUUUGAUUUUGAUUGUUGUUGUUGCAUUAUGUUACAUAGCAAAGUUGACUCUUUGGUUUUUUGCUCAUCAAUAUCACAUUACGGUACUACUCCUGUGUGAUUUGACCACUGAAAUUAUAUUGGAUUUUUGUCUUUGUUGGGGCAUGUUCGUGAAAUUAUAUGCUAGUGUUUGCGUUGUUCAUCUAUAUGUUGUGCAUGAUAAUCAAAGGGUUAGAAGAAAGGGCACAUUCUAUUUUUUAACGAAGGAAAAAUGUUUAUCAGAAUCGUACAUGCAUUUUCUCUAGUGGUGCCCUUUGAUAGCUUUAAGUCCUAGGGUUAGGGUUCUUGUAAAUAAUUGUUUUUCCAAUAUUUUAGAAACAAAUUUCACUGAAGUUGUUAUAUAAUGUCGUUUAAUUUCUGCCAGUAUUAGUUACACAGCAUGCUAUGUAAAGAUAGUUGUAAAAUGUUGGCCCUUAAUUUAUCAACAUUGUUAAGAAUUUGACUGCUUAGCGGAAUAUGAUUCCUUCUUCCUGAAAAGUCAGGUUUAGUCUUACCUAGCUAUGAAGAAUAAGUGUCACAUGCCAGUGCUCUAAUUCAAUAUAUCUGUAUAAUGUUCGUCUUUGUUUGCCAGUGGUAAUAUGAAUUGGAUCAGGCCCCUCAAUCUUGCGUCAUUGUUAAUGAUUUCAUUUAGUGCCUACAGGGAGUACUAAUUGUUGUUGUUCUUAUAAUUUCCUUUUGUUGGUAUGAAUUCCAUAAAUUUACCUUCUUGAAUAGACUAUGAAAUCAGCUAUAUACGUUUAAUAUUUUUUUUGUUUGCAGCAUUUUCGCUUGGUUUUUGACUUAAUUAAUUGCAUGUGGUGUUCAUGAAUGAAAUGCUUAGAGUAAAGAUUCUCCUGUCCUUUUAAAUCCAAAAUUAUUAUGACUUGUGACAAUUCUUGCUAUACUAUCCAAUUUCCCUUUCAAUAUGAGGAAUAGUUUAAGAGAGCUUCCUUCAGUCCACUCAUGGAUGGAUAGAGGGUUUGAAUUAGCUGCUGACUCAUUCAUUCAAACACAAUAGAACGGGUGUCAUGGUAUGCUAUUGUGAAUGCCUGAAUGAUGCAGGAGGUAAAGUUCAUCCUUUUCUUGUCUGUGCUUGGACUGAAGGGAGCUCCCUUUUACUGUUUUUAUCAUUAUUUUUAUAUGAUAGUUUUCCCAAUUUUGUUUUUAUCAUUAUUUUUAUAUGAUAGUUUUCCCAAUUUUAUUAUGUUUACCUUUUAAUUCUUCCCCGUUUUUACAUCUAUAGUGUACUGGAUGUUUUACUUAAUGUCCCCCUUUCCAUUUCAAUAAAUUCUUUUGUGUGCAUUCCAUCAAAUGAUGCUUAAUCCAUCACUGCUCUGAACCUAAUGUUUUAAUCAUUUCAUUUCCAUGUAAUAAUUAAUCUUAAUUUUAGUUGCAAAUCAUUGUUAAACAGCAUAUUUUGUUAUUCUAUUGUUAAUUUUCAUCUUCUUAUAACACAUUCUUAAAUUAUAGUUACAAAUUCUUGUUAAAUUUAUUCUGCUAUUCAAUUUUCCCCGAUUUAGUUCUUGCAUUGGAAGAACUCAUUAUUCAGGGCGUUUCCUUUUAUAUUCAUGGGAUAGUAUUGGCUAACUUAAAAGGAAAACAAAAUCUUUUAUACUAUACAUAUUUUUAUUUUAUUUUCAUAAUUUUUAAGAAAACUGUUUGUUGAUUUAUAAUAUUUUUCAAAGCCUUACUAGUAACUCUUAAUUGAUUUUUGAUGUUUUUCUUUGCGUUUGGCUUCCUCAAAAUUUAUUUCUUUCUUUAGCCCCCUCAAGCAAAAAUGGCUUGCUCCACCCUGUUAUGGUUAAUUCAAAAGUCUAGUAUGUGUUGGAUUUCCAUAAAAUUUGUGGGACCAAUUUAUAUGUAAGUGUGGUAAUUAAGAAACAACUGGUAAGGUUUGUAUUUUUUGUCAAUUUGUCACCUUGAAUUUUGGCAGUUUUUUCUCCCUUGGAUUUUGGUUGUCAAAUUUUAUGGAUAUAUAUACGGAAAGCUGUUUUCGGUAACUUCAGUUAACAGCAUACAUACAAGUUGGUACUAGGAAAAUUCAAUUUCCAGAUUUUUUUUCGCCAUGUUAAUGGCACCAAUAUCGUUUUUCACCACGUACCUUUUAAAUUUUCCCCUGAUCAUACCUCCGUUAUUAAAAUACUACUAGUUCACACGGUGUAAGCAAAAAAAAAAAAAAAAGUGGGUGUGCAUUUGUAUCAAUUUGUGAAAUUUUCGUUCAGGAAAAUAUGUUUGUUUACUCAAAAUGUAGCAGUCGCAGCUGACAAUAUGAUUAGUUUCAUUUUGGGAAAAAAAUAUUAAAUAGAAAAAUGAAAUGUACAAACAGACAUUACAUUAAUAUUUCUGAUAGAAAAUCCUCUGACAUGGUAUAUGAAUGAAUUGCUGAAAUUUAUGGUCACUCAUUUCGUCAUGUAUGGUUUAUGUUUGAAAAAUGUUUUGCAUCGAUUUUACUGUAUAGGGGGUGGAAAUGGAAUUAUGUUAUUAGCCUGUUUUCCCCCGGUGUAAGCUAUUGUGGUACUAACCAUACUUUCAUAUGAUUUGCCACGCAUAAUAUUCUGUAUUUUUUUUACAAUGUUCUCGUUGAGCUUUGAAUUUAAGACCUAAUGCAUAUUACUCUAAACUUUCACUACUAGGUCGAUGCCAGUGGUCACAAGAUUCUGUAUUAUGUGUAGUGUUUUUAGUAGUUCAGAUUUUGUACAUCCACAUUAUAUUGUCAUUAUCGUAAAUGGUAAUGUGGGCCCAAUGUUGUUGCAUAAUUUUUAAAAGUACAAUUUACAUGCAUGGGCAGUCUAUAUUUUAGUAUAUGCAAAUUGAUCCCUUACCCAAGUAUAUUAUAAUUUAAUAUAAGGUAUGCAUGUAUAUUGAGAUCAAUUAUUUAUGAAACAAAUUCCUAUGAUAAUUUUUUUUUUUGUUAAUUGUUAGUUUUUGCUCAUGUGAUUUAUUAAUGUAACUUAUUAUUUUUUUUUUAUGAAUUUAAGUUUUGUAUGUUAAGUUAAAAUAUUAUAUAUUGUCAAAUAAUACGACAUCAUUGUCUGUAUGAUUUUAAAAGUAAUUAUUUUUAAGUUAAUAAGUUUAUUAUAUAUGAUUAUUUGAAAUUAGAUAGUGAUGUUAUUUUUUUCCCUAGUAGGGCAUACACUAGUUACACACUAAGAUUUUAUUAAAAAGAUACAACAAUUUGUAUAGUGUUAUUUUUUCGUUUUUUAUUAUAUCAUUUAUUAAGUCUUCAAAUUUUCUCUCUUUACUUUUUCUAGUUGUAUGAAAUUAUAAAUUAUAAAUGCAUUGUUCUACAUUUGUUGUAGAAGGAUUAUUUCUCUUUAAACAACUUUUCAUAAACAUUUUCAAAUGCGCAUCAUUGAUGUUGAUGGAAUACAGCACAAAGGGUUUUGGGACACUGAGGUAUUCAUUAUUUGAUUCAUUGAUAUUCAUAUUUGGUGGCUAGCUGGCUCUAAACUCUGUCAUAGAUGCCUCAGAAAAUAUACUACCUACACUGCAUUGAUUGCAGUGUAGUGUGUGUUGGAUCACUUUAUUCCAAAACACACUAACAAAAGCAAACCUUGGUCAGUUUAAACACAAACGUUGCGUUCUGAGUUGGAUAUACUGGAGGAGCUCAAAUACCAGCAUAUAGGGUCAUAUUACCGGUGAUUGGAACACAUGUCAUUGUGUUGUGUCAAUAUCAGAGCCUGAAGAAUUUAAAUAUUAGACGUGCAAUUGGCGUCAGAAACGCUGCAUUCUUGUCCAUUACUCUGCUGGGGCCUAGCCAGAGGUUGGAACUUGGAGCUAUAUUGUUCUACUAAUUUGUUGAUAAUUAUUAGAGCUAUUCAUUAUAUUUUUUGCCUAUUCCUUCCAAAAUAUCAUAAAAAUGGGGGUAUACUCUUGUUUACUCACAAAAAACUUGUAUAUUUUGUCUUUAAUUUUAUAAAAUAUUUUAGUCUUUUCUAA